rnacentral:rRNA from 1 species
AUUGAACGCUGGCGGCAUGCUUUACACAUGCAAGUCGAACGGCAGCACAGCAGAGGUAACUCUGUGGGUGGCGAGUGGCGAACGGGUGAGUAAUACAUCGGAACGUACCCUGUUGUGGGGGAUAACUACGCGAAAGCGUAGCUAAUACCGCAUACGCCCUGAGGGGGAAAGCGGGGGACCCUAAAUAGAGCGCACUGGGGAGUGCGUUGUAUUUAGGGCCUCGCGCAAUAGGAGCGGCCGAUGUCGGAUUAGCUAGUUGGUGAGGUAAAGGCUUACCAAGGCGACGAUCCGUAGCUGGUCUGAGAGGAUGAUCAGCCACACUGGGACUGAGACACGGCCCAGACUCCUACGGGAGGUAGCAGUGGGGAAUUUUGGACAAUGGGGGCAACCCUGAUCCAGCCAUGCCGCGUGAGUGAAGAAGGCCUUCGGGUUGGUUAAAGACGUCUUUCGGUACGGUAAAGGAAAUACGACGCAGGUAAAGUAAUACUAGCGUGGAGUGACGGUACCGUAACGAAGAAGACACCGG